rnacentral:rRNA from 1 species
CCUACGGGUGGCAGCAGUGGGGAAUAUUGCACAAUGGGGGAAACCCUGAUGCAGCGAAGCCGCGUGAGCGAUGAAGUAUUUCGGUAUGUAAAGCUCUAUCAGCAGGGAAGCAAAUGACGGUACCUGACUAAGAAGCACCGGCUAAAUACGUGCCAGAAGCCGCGGUACUACGGAGGGCGCAAGCGUUAUCCGGAUUUACUGGGGGUAAAGGGAGGGUAGACGGCGGUGCAAGCCAGAUGUGAAAGCCCGGGGCGCAACCCCGGGACUGCAUUUGGAACUGUGCUGCUAGAGUGUCGGAGAGGCAGGCGGAAUUCCUAGUGUAGCGGUGAAAUGCGUAGAUAUUAGGAGGAACACCAGUGGCGAAGGCGGCCUGCUGGACGAAGACUGACGUUGAGGCUCGAAAGCGUGGGGAGCAAACAGGAUUAGAUACCCGAGUAGUC